GAUGAACGCUGGCGGCGUGCCUAACACAUGCAAGUCGAGCGAUCUUCUUCGGAAGAGAGCGGCGGACGGGUGAGUAACGCGUGGGUAACCUGCCCUGUACACACGGAUAACAUACCGAAAGGUAUGCUAAUACGGGAUAACAUAAGAGAGUCGCAUGGCUAUCUUAUCAAAGCUUUUGCGGUACAGGAUGGACCCGCGUCUGAUUAGCUAGUUGGUAAGGUAACGGCUUACCAAGGCGACGAUCAGUAGCCGACCUGAGAGGGUGAUCGGCCACAUUGGAACUGAGACACGGUCCAAACUCCUACGGGAGGCAGCAGUGGGGAAUAUUGCACAAUGGGCGAAAGCCUGAUGCAGCAACGCCGCGUGAGCGAUGAAGGCCUUCGGGUCGUAAAGCUCUGUCCUCAAGGAAGAUAAUGACGGUACUUGAGGAGGAAGCCCCGGCUAACUACGUGCCAGCAGCCGCGGUAAUACGUAGGGGGCUAGCGUUAUCCGGAAUUACUGGGCGUAAAGGGUGCGUAGGCGGUCUUUCAAGUCAGAAGUGAAAGGCUACGGCUCAACCGUAGUAAGCUUUUGAAACUGUAAGACUUGAGUGCAGGAGAGGAGAGUGGAAUUCCUAGUGUAGCGGUGAAAUGCGUAGAUAUUAGGAGGAACACCAGUUGCGAAGGCGGCUCUCUGGACUG
rnacentral:rRNA from 1 species